UGCGUGCUUUAUAUACCUUACUUGAGUUUGCGUGCUCUCAUCUCUUCUUUUUCAUUUGCGCAAGAGCUAUGCCUACUGGUCAACUGCCAAGUAUCAUUAGAUGUUGGCUGAGCCAUAAAAAGGCAUUAAGAUUGGGCAUUGGCGGACUGUCGACUGCUGCUGGCUUACAAUCAAUUAAGUUGGGGCUGCCACAGCCCAUGGUUAUGGUCGGCAUUUCUAAAAUGUUACGAGCCUCAAAUUGAUAGAAACAUUUAUGCAGCCUUGGAGUUAGUUGCCUUUAACCAACAACCAGAAGCAACAGCAGCAGCAUCAGAGUCAGCCAACAAACCGGUUUACCAAAGGCUUUUGCCGACCUGCCAAUUGACUUUGUCCAUUCCGCCGGAGAGAGACC